rnacentral:rRNA from 1 species
UCGAGGAUCUUUGGCAAUGGGCGCAAGCCUGACCAAGCGACGCCGCGUGUGCGAUGAAGGCCUUCGGGUUGUAAAGCACUGUCGAGGGGGAUAAAGGCGCAAGCUUGAUUGAUCCCUGGAGGAAGCACGGGCUAAGUUCGUGCCAGCAGCCGCGGUAAGACGAACCGUGCGAACGUUGUUCGGAAUCACUGGGCUUAAAGGGCGCGUAGGCGGCAGAGUCAGUCCGGGGUGAAAGCCCCCAGCUCAACUGGGGAAGGGCCUUGGAUACUGCUGUGCUCGAGGAAGGUAGGGGUCGAGGGAACUUCUGGUGGAGCGGUGAAAUGCGUUGAUAUCAGAAGGAACGCCGGUGGCGAAAGCGCUCGACUGGACCUUUUCUGACGCUGAGGCGCGAAAGCUAGGGGAGCAAACGGGAUUAGAUACCCCCGUAGUCC